UUUUGAUGAAACUGUUUAAUGCACACAUUUGAGUCUGUCUUAAGACUUUUCCCCCCUUUAUUAGGAAAUAUUUCAAAGAAGCGUGUAAUGUCCCUGAGCCAGAAGAGAAGUUUAAUAUGGACAAAUACACAGACCUGGUGACAGUCAGCAAACCAGUCAUUUAUAUUUCAAUUGAAGAAAUCAUCAGCACACACUCACUCCUGUUGGAACACCAGGAUGCAAUUGCCCCUGAGAAAAAUGACUUACUGAGUGAAUUGCUGGGGUCGCUGGGAGAGGUGCCGACCGUGGAAUCUUUUCUUGGGGAAGGAGCAGUUGACCCCAAUGACCCUAACAAGGCAAAUACACUAAGUCAGCUUUCAAAGACCGAGAUUUCUCUUGUCUUGACAAGCAAAUAUGACAUAGAGGACGGUGAAGCUAUAGAUAGCCGAAGCCUCAUGAUAAAGACCAAGAAGCUGAUAAUUGAUGUGAUCCGGAACCAGCCAGGGAACACAUUGACAGAAAUCUUAGAGACACCAGCAACUGCGCAACAGGAGGUAGACCAUGCUACGGACAUGGUGAGCCGUGCAAUGAUAGAUUCCAGGAC
rnacentral:sRNA from 1 species